UAUCCUGGGUAAUAAGUCAGCCCUCUUUUUCUGUGCAAACUUCCUACAGCUACCCCUUGCUACACUGAUUACAUUUAAACGGUAACAUCCUCUUAACUGAUUACUGAAGCAACGGAUGGAUCACGUGACCUAGACAGAUCUCAAAAAUGGGAGACCACAUGCAAAGGAAACUACGUUUUCACAACACAUGGUUGGAGAGGUCAAAGAAAAUGUGAUGUAUUACUUUCAGUUUUAUCAUCAGCGGGACCAUCUGGGGCUAGUGGUGGGGCUCGAAGAAGGAAGAAGAAAAUAAAGAAGAGAAUCAGAUCCCCAAAGUAGAGAGACUGAAUUACAGCAAUGACCUCGACUUGCAUUUACUA
rnacentral:lncRNA from 10 species